rnacentral:rRNA from 1 species
UACGUAGGGUGCGAGCGUUAAUCGGAAUUACUGGGCGUAAAGCGUGCGCAGGCGGUUUUGUAAGCCAGAUGUGAAAUCCCCGGGCUUAACCUGGGAAUGGCAUUUGGGACUGCAAGGCUGGAGUGUGGCAGAGGAGACUGGAAUUCCUGGUGUAGCAGUGAAAUGCGUAGAUAUCAGGAGGAGUACCGAUGGCGAAGGCAGGUCUCUGGGCUGACACUGACGCUCAUGCACGAAAGCGUGGGGAGCAAACAGG